UUUCAACUUGAGAGUUUGAUCCUGGCUCAGAACGAACGCUGGCGGCAGGCUUAACACAUGCAAGUCGAGCGCCCCGCAAGGGGAGCGGCAGACGGGUGAGUAACGCGUGGGAACGUACCAUUUGCUACGGAAUAACUCAGGGAAACUUGUGCUAAUACCGUAUGUGCCCUUCGGGGGAAAGAUUUAUCGGCAAAUGAUCGGCCCGCGUUGGAUUAGCUAGUUGGUGGGGUAAAGGCUCACCAAGGCGACGAUCCAUAGCUGGUCUGAGAGGAUGAUCAGCCACACUGGGACUGAGACACGGCCCAGACUCCUACGGGAGGCAGCAGUGGG
rnacentral:rRNA from 1 species